UACGUAGGGGGCAAGCGUUGUCCGGAGUUACUGGGCGUAAAGCGCACGCAGGCGGUCUUUUUAAGUUUGGAGUGACAGUUGGUGGCUUAACUGCCAAAGUGCUUCGAAAACUGACAGACUUGAGGGCUUCAGAGGGACACGGAAUUCCGGGUGGAGUGGUGAAAUGCGUAGAGAUCCGGAAGAACACCGGUGGCGAAGGCGGCCUGCUGGGCAGUAGCUGACGCUGAGGCGCGACAGCGUGGGGGAGCAAACAGG
rnacentral:rRNA from 1 species